rnacentral:rRNA from 1 species
GAGGAUCCGAGCGUUAUCCGGAUUUAUUGGGUUUAAAGGGAGCGUAGACGGCAAGGCAAGUCUGGAGUGAAAACCCGGGGCUCAACCCCGGGAUUGCUUUGGAAACUGUUUAGCUGGAGUGCCGGAGAGGUAAGCGGAAUUCCUAGUGUAGCGGUGAAAUGCGUAGAUAUUAGGAGGAACACCAGUGGCGAAGGCGGCUUACUGGACGGUAACUGACGUUGAGGCUCGAAAGCGUGGGGAGCAA